rnacentral:rRNA from 1 species
GAUGAACGCUAGCGGCAGGCCUAAUACAUGCAAGCCGAACGGCAAGUUGAGUAGCAAUACUUGACCUAGAGUGGCGUAAGGGUGCGUAACACGUAUGCAAUCUGCCCUCAACAGGAGGAUAGCUCCCCGAAAGGGGAAUUAACCCUCCAUGGGAUCUUAGAGUGGCAUCACUUAGAGAUUAAACCGCAAGGGGUUGAGGAUGAGCAUGCGCAUGAUAGUUAGUUGGCGGGGUAACGCCCACCAAGACGAUGAUCAUUAGGGGAACUGAGAGGUUGAU